UUUACUCGAGAAUCAUCCAAGUUGAAUAAGAUUGUUUCUCGUAUUUUAUCUAUUUGCCUUAGACAAUGCCAUAGAUUUUCUAUAUACACAUUUAUAAUGUUGUAAACAGAAGCUCAUUUUGUGAUCAGCUUUCUAGUUGAAUGAAACGCAUAGUGUAUUUACAAAAAUUCAAGUUCGGUCGUGGAGAGGAAGCCAAUUAAUAACAACAACAAUUUUUUUUAACACCGAGUGACGGAGGAGUAUAUUACCCCCAUUUGGAAAAUACGCUGUUGUGUCGUUUCAUUUGAAAUUGUACGAAAUUAAGAACACUACAUCAACGUGUGCAUUAUCAGUUCAUCUCAACAACUACAUCCAAAACCGUCUUAGCAACAUUAACAGAACGAACUAUAAUCUCAACAGGUUCCAGAACCUUCUCAACAGUUUCCACAGAACGAGCUUCAAAUCUCUGCAGCUUCCAAAACCGAUUCAUCACCUCAAGAAAUUCAUUUGUGAACAAAAUAUCGGAUGUCAAUGAGGGUCGCCCAUUCAUAACUUGUUGAAUUAAUGGAACGAAUGGAGAACUGCUGCUUCAAAAUUAUGCAUGGGCUGAAGUCUCUGCAUGGACUUAGGCCACAUCGAAUUUCAUAAGAUGACAUGGGAAAUGUCAACAGCAAUUGGUGUUCUUUUCGAGCGGCCGUUUCGUAUUGCUCCAACACUCUGUCUAUUGCAUUCAGAGUUCCAUUGUAAUCUUCACUAUCACUGUCAAAUAUUACUUCAACUUCACUACCUUAACCACUAUCGACAGACAUUUUCGUUUUCAAACUGAAUAUCCAUCUGUGUUUGCAUGCGCUCUUAUAGCUUCAGAUCACGUGGUCCAUAUCAGAUAUAGUGUGAUUGUUAAACACACAAAUAAUCCUUCACAAAAUGCCCUUUCAAUACAUUGUCAGUGUGCUUGUUUUCCAUGAGAUUUUAUACAAAAUCGACAUUUUCUAUCCAACUGUUGUGUUUGUUAUCCAAACCCAGCCAUUUAACGUACAUUUUUUUAUCUUUCCUCCUCAACACUUUUUCCACGAGAUAUAUAUCAGGAUUUGCAGUUUUUUGUAAUUCUUCCGCAUAGAAAGCACUCCUAAUAGAAGCACCCUGCAUAUUUUCUAGCAUAAAGGUGGUGGGGUUGGUGAUGUUGAAGUCUUUACUUCAAAAAGUAAAAAACUCCUACCGAAGCUACCCCAUAGAGCAUUAUACGAUUCGGAAAUUCAAAAAUGUGCCCGUUAACUGAAAAUUCCACAUUUUCGUGGAGUCUUUAUGCGUGACACGUUGCCAACUUGUGGUCCUUGGCUGCGAGAAUGUGCUGUAUUGAACUUGGAUUCUCAAUUGAAUGCAGGCACUCAUUGUGUAGCUUACAUUAAAAACGGCAAUGCUGUACAAUAUUUUGAUGGUUUCGGUAAUCUCAAACCUCCAAUGGAAUUGGUCAGAUAUUUUGGAGGGGGUAUAACGAUUAC